CAGGACUGAUGGAACUGAACCUGGAAAAGGAUGUUUCUGAGAUGAACAAAACUCCAGGAGACAUCACAAUGACUGAAGAAAAGAUGUGGAACAGAGAGAUCUGACUUUGGAUGCUGAUCCUGUUGUUUAUUCGAUGAUCACUUGGAAACCCUUAGUGUUUUGCACUUAGAGGAUCAUGUAUCAGGGUGUCCUAGGUACUCAUCAGAAGACUGGUGUUCCCUUGGCCAGAGGUCCUGUGGCUGUCUUUCAAAGUAUCACACUAAGAUGACUAACACAAAGUAAGGAGAACUAGUGUCUUAGUGCUCUGGCAAUAGGAUUCUGAAGAAGGCCAGAGGCCAAGGUUUGGACAAGGAGUGGGAGCAGGGGCUGAAUCCCAGGCUUCCCUUUGCGUCUUGUUGUCAAGACAACAAACAUUGCAUUUACUGCUGUGGACACCAUCGCCAUGCUGCCUAUCAAAGGCUUUGUAAUGCAGAGCCACUCAACCUUGAGAAGAUGGAGAUGAAAAGAAGUAUUUUGAAACACUUGGAGAAUUUUUGAUGUCAGGGCAGAGGUACUUAGAAGGUACUUCCUCCCCCACACAAUGUGCUUUGUCAAUAUUUUUGAUGCUCGGGACUCGUGAAUGUUAAUUACUUGGACUGAACCUUGGAAAACAAAUUUACCUCUGUUCUGAGAUAUUUGAUUCAUCCCAAAUCUUUCUAGAAUGUCUAAUUGAAUGAUCUCUGAGAAGGUGGCAAUGAAUGGGAAAAGAUCACAGCUGGCUGACACAUAAUUGCCACUUGAUUUGAGGGAUAUUCAAAUAUAUUUCAAGCUGCCAGAUGGUACGUGGUUCCGACUGCUAUGCUGUGGGAUCAAAGGGAAUGACAACAGUGGCUGUUUCCUGCCUGUGUGAUGGGGAGUGUCAGGGAGUGGGCAUGGGCUUGAAGGCAUUCUAAAAUAUUUCCAAAUGCAAUGACUUCAGCAAGAUAUAAAUUGCUGACCUUUAAAAAAAAUGUACUGUUUCUCUUCCUCAGUAUGGCCUGUGAUGUUCACAAGGGGUUUCAGCAUGGGGGUGUAGACACUUCUUUCUCUUUCUUGUCCUUGCCAGACAAAGUCUUCUUUGUCAUUAAAUGCCAACCUUUGGAGAGAACAAUGCAGAACAGGGAGAGAGAAUGCCAUAGUCCACCUAACAGCCCUUUGGGCUGAACUACAACAUUGACACUGUAGGAAUCACAGCUACCAGAGCCUGCUUAAUGUACUGCCCAAUGAAUCCUUGCAUGCAACCUCUUUUGCAAGAAAAAACUUUAAAAUAGAAUAUAUCUUCCUCUCUGAUUGGUCCAGUGCAGUUCUAUCAAGUGUGUAAGAAAGAAUAGUAAUUGCUAAGGUCUCCCAGUUCUAAGUAGUUUGGGUGCUGUGCAUCUAUGGCAGGCUUUUGCAGAUCUCUAGGAAGGAUUUUAGCAAUGAGUCCUGACUUCUCUUAGGUCUGGAGAGAAAGGUUUGAAGAUGUGUUUGGCAGUCACUGAGGUCUUGCAACGCUCAGUCUAACCAUUAUCUCACAAAUGGCUCAAUUCCAUGUCUAAAUCCAUUCUACUUAAAGAAAAGUUAAGUAAACCUAUCUUAGGAAAUCAAAUUCCCUGGGCUCUCAAGCUUAGUAACAACCAAACAGACUAGAAUUUUUCCUAUAAAGGUGAGGAAAUUUAUAAUGUUUUCUAGGCAAUGGGUAAGAUUAUUAUUCUGUUUCAGCCUGGAGGACUCAGUAGCUCCUUUUGCCUGUCUGAGGAACUUCCUUGUGGAAAAGGGUUUUGACUUAUUAUGGGUAGUUUCAGGAAACAAAAGUCAGAUCAAUGAGUAGGCACUAAAACUCUCAGAGGCAAUUCAAUAUCCAAUUUUAAGCAAAUCUAUAAAAUCAAGAAAGUCCUUUAUGUAAUAAUUUAGUUCCCAAUUUUAUUUUCCUUUCAAUUUUCUCUAAUUUCUUCACUUGCUUAAUUUAACUCUAAUCCUAUUCUAUUUAAUGGCAUGCAUUUUCUCCAAGUAAUGGGACAGCAUUAAACAGACAAAUAAUCAAUGAAACUACAGCAUGGAAGUAGUUCACAUAUUUAAAAAAAAAGUAAGGUAAAAUCUGCGAUUCUGUGACAGACAUGGCAAGUUGUCACUCAGUGUAUAAUGACAACAGUGACAUGCAUAUUGGGGGUUCUGCCAUUUGGGGAUGUUCACAGAUUUAACAGUCUUUUCCAAGCUGAUCAAAGGCUAUAAAAGAGACUCCAUUUCUUGUGAGUUUGUGGGAUGUUGGGAAGCAAUGAAGAUCAUUUGUCUUGUAAAGGAGCAGGAUAUAAAGAUGAGACAUGCCAUCCAGAUUCCAUCCUGAACAUGACGGCUAAUUUGUGUUGCUUCUGCUAAAAAUGGAAGGAUAAAACUGACAUUUUUUCAGCCGCUUGAAAAACGCCUAUAGAACAAUCAGAAAUGAUUAUGCUUCGGGCUUGGAAGACAGCUGCUUUAUAGGGAACGUGCCUCAAAUCAGCUCUUUUAGGUUUGGGGCUAAAAAUUGAGGCAGAAAAAGCAGAGGGGUUUGGCCACAGUGGUAACUAGUCAGCAACCAAGACAGGAAAUCAAUCUUAACUUCUUAUCAUUUGGUACAAUUUGCCUUUCACCUCAAUAUGCUCACAGUGACACGAAUGAAGGUGUGAUCAAGUUGUAGCUGAAUACAUAUCCAACUGGGUCAUUUUGAUAAGCGUUUCUCAAAACAAGCGAAAUCCAAGCACUCUCUACAAUUGCAGCUAAUGGAAGUCAUGUAAUCUUACUCCAUGCUGCUGUUCAGCGGGCCACACAGAGGGCCUGCAUACAGCCAUAGAAAGAUAUUCAGCUUAAAAAUAAAUCCAAUCUGAGUCCUGUGUUAGAUGUAAUCACAGUAUAAUCCUGACAUAAUUAUUGUAUUUUCUGAUACUCCUUUUGGAGAUAAACAACUAUUUGUCAUCCCUUUGAGUUUUCCUGUUUCCCAUUAGUUUUGUGUUAAUAACUGGUAUAGGAAGCUCAUGGUCCAAAUUUAUUGAGAGAGAAAGACAUUUGCUGUUUCCCAAGGGAUGAGGGAUGCAGCUAGCAGGCAGAGAUGCUCCAGCUGUAGUCACUGAUAUUCAUGGGGUUUUCAGAAAUGUCAGAAACUCGAUAUAAGAGAAUCUGGACCAAUAUGUAAAAUUUUAAGGGCAAAAAUCUCCUAGUUUUAUAUUUCUUUUAAAAAUAUGAUUUUAUUUUAUCCAAAUAAACCUUGAUAAUGUAUUUAUCAUUCAAAGUGCAUUUGUACUACAACUUUGAUAUUAGAAUAUAAGCGGAGGUUAUGAAGGGUGAGCUACAUUUUUAAAAUACUGUUCCUUCCCUAAAUUCUAAAUGCUCUACAUAUAACCAUCCCACAAAGAUCAUGGCUGUUUGAUUUUCAAUACACUGACCUCUUGCUUGUUUAAUCAUGAGAUUUCCAGAGCCAACGUGAUGAGUGCGGGAGUAUAGAUGUGAGUCAGUUCUCCAGAGAAAUAACCUGGACAACCCGCAGCAGUGGGGAGCCCAACGAUGCAUUUAUGAAGAUUUGACAUGCUUAGAAAAUAAUGAAUUAGGUAAGACUGUUUAGAGCACCAAACCCUGGGCAUGUGCCUCCUGGAUGCAGACAAGCUAGUUAAGAUCCUUGAGUUUGGCCCUGGAAAGCCUCCUUUCUCCUAGUGGUCAUUCAAAGUAAGCCAUCAGUUCCGAAAUGAUCAAGCCUAAUCUAUAUUUCAAUGCACAUCCUAUUGGUAUUCAUUUUCUUUUAAGAACUGAAAUUAAAAUCACCAUCAUGCCUGUCUCUUUCUUUAGUUAAGAAGUUAAAUUGACUGUCCAUGUCGCAUGAAGCGUUUUAUUUUGGGCCACAGCACAUGGUUUACCAAGCAGGACAUGUUGUCUAGAGUGAUUGCAGCCAAGGUAGACUAUGUAUGGCGCAACAGAAGGCAGAGACACCUUGUGACCAAUCAGUUGCUUUUUUAAGAGACAAGAACAAAAGAAAGAUUGGAGCUGAACACUGUGAAUGCCUUACCCGUGAGCCCAAAUGUUGCAUCGUCUCAAACUGUCCGAGUGCUCUGAAUGAGGUUAUUGCACUCAUGAAGCUCUCUUUGAUGCCAAAAUGACACGGGCUCAAACCACCAUUUCAUCUCAAAUUCUCUCGUAAUUGUUACCUGUUGUUGGUUUUGUUUGUUUGUUUUUUGAGACACAGUUUCUUUGUGUAGUUUUGAAA